rnacentral:rRNA from 1 species
UACGUAGGGGGCUAGCGUUGUCCGGAUUUAUUGGGCGUAAAGAGCGUGUAGGCGGCCAGGUAGGUCUGCUGUGAAAACUCGAGGCUCAACCUCGAGACGUCGGCGGAAACCAUCUGGCUAGAGUCCGGAAGAGGAGAGUGGAAUUCCUGGUGUAGCGGUGAAAUGCGCAGAUAUCAGGAAGAACACCCGUGGCGAAGGCGGCAUCCUGGACCAACACUGACGCUGAGGAGCGAAAGCCAGGGGAGCAAACGGG